rnacentral:rRNA from 1 species
AUCAGAUGUGCCCAGAUGGGAUUAGCUAGUUGGUGAGGUAACGGCUCACCAAGGCGACGAUCCCUAGCUGGUCUGAGAGGAUGACCAGCCACACUGGAACUGAGACACGGUCCAGACUCCUACGGGAGGCAGCAGUGGGGAAUAUUGCACAAUGGGCGCAAGCCUGAUGCAGCCAUGCCGCGUGUAUGAAGAAGGCCUUCGGGUUGUAAAGUACUUUCAGCGGGGAGGAAGGUGUUGUGGUUAAUAACCGCAGCAAUUGACGUUACCCGCAGAAGAAGCACCGGCUAACUCCGUGCCAGCAGCCGCGGUAAUACGGAGGGUGCAAGCGUUAAUCGGAAUUACUGGGCGUAAAGCGCACGCAGGCGGUCUGUCAAGUCGGAUGUGAAAUCCCCGGGCUCAACCUGGGAACUGCAUUCGAAACUGGCAGGCUUGAGUC